AUAUUAUUCCUAAAUGAUAACUAAUAAAAUAAAACUAUUUCUUUUUAGUGGCAAACACUAUGAUCUGGAACAGCUUCUGAGAAAGAGGAAGGAGACAAAGCCACACAACUUGGAGUGCUCCAAAGAGGAGGAAAAAGAUGAGAAGGAGAGAGCUGAGCUCUUGGUUCUUCUUGUGCAUCAUCAGCAAGAAGACUUACUAAUCUCUGUGUAGUGACACCUGUCUGGAGUCCCCAUUAACUGUUGCACCUGUUUUCAUGGUGAAGUAUAAAUUUGGCUUGCAAAGCUAAUAUAUCUAUAAUUUGGUAAGUGUUGAAACAACUAUUUUGAUGGAAUAUAUAUGACUGGAGGAACAAAUGCUGUCACAUGGGGAAUUUUUCCAUCAGGCUGUACAGGACACACCGUGGCUGGGGCUGGUUGCUCUUGG
rnacentral:lncRNA from 1 species